rnacentral:rRNA from 1 species
GACGAACGCUGGCGGCGCGCCUAACACAUGCAAGUCGAGCGAGAACCAGUCCUUCGGGACUGGGGACAGCGGCGAACGGGUGAGUAACACGUGGGUAAUCUGCCCUCGGCACCGGAAUAGCCCGGGGAAACCCGGAUUAAUGCCGGAUGGCCUCUCUGCCCCUCGGGGCGGCGAGAAAAGGUAGCUUCGGCCUCCGGCCGAGGAUGAGCCCGCGGCCGAUUAGCUUGUUGGUGGGGUAACGGCUCACCAAGGCGACGAUCGGUAGCUGGUCUGAGAGGACGAUCAGCCACACUGGGACUGAGACACGGCCCAGACUCCUACGGGAGGCAGCAGUGGGGAAUCUUGCGCAAUGGGCGAAAGCCUGACGCAGCGACGCCGCGUGCGGGAAGAAGGCCUUCGGGUUGUAAACCGCUUUCAGGAGGGACGAAGCCACUCGGGUGAAUAGCCUAGAGGGUGACGGUACCUCCAGAAGAAGCCCCGGCUAACUACGUGCCAGCCGCCGCAGUAACAC